rnacentral:rRNA from 1 species
GACGAACGCUGGCGGCGUGCUUAACACAUGCAAGUCGAACGAUGAAGCUGGAGCUUGCUCCGGUGGAUUAGUGGCGAACGGGUGAGUAACACGUGAGCAAUCUGCCCUUGACUCUGGGAUAACUGCGGGAAACUGUAGCUAAUACCGGAUACGAGGCUCGAAGGCAUCUUCGGGUCUGGAAAGAAUUUCGGUCAAGGAUGAGCUCGCGGCCUAUCAGCUUGUUGUGAGGUAAUGGCUCACCAAGGCGACGACGGGUAGCCGGCCUGGGAGGGGGACCGGCCACACUGGGACUGAGACACGGCCCAGACUCCUACGGGAGGCAGCAGUGGGGAAUAUUGCACAAUGGGCGAAAGCCUGAUGCAGCAACGCCGCGUGAGGGACGAAGGCCUUCGGGUUGUAAACCUCUUUUAGCAGGGAAGAAGCGAAAGUGACGGUACCUGCAGAAAAAGCACCGGCUAACUACGUGCCAGCCGCCGCGGUAA